rnacentral:ncRNA from 2 species
CUCUUAUCCCGAGCUGGUGGAGGGACAGGCCCGAUGAAACCCAGCAACCUGCUAAUGAUGCUUUUGAAAACGGAUAUAUGCUGAAAAGAGCAUAACGGUUCAAAUUACCAGCCAGCAAUGGUCUGUUUUUAGCAAAGGUGCUAACCUGACGCAAGGAAGAUUCCUUGAACGAUAAGAG